CUAGAAAGAGAACAUUCUAACUAUAAUGAGUUCCUUCUGGGAGAGUUUUAUUCAUCGCGCUGUACUCAAGUCAAAAACAACUGUCCAAAAGGUUUCGAUGGUCCAAACACACUCCUGCUCAUUCGGCACAGAAUAUCAAGACCUGAUUCCCACGCAGUAAGACGAGGAAUAGACAUCACCAGGAAUCCUGGGUUUGCAGCUAGAUGGUGAUCAACUGACAACACAUGGAUGAUUUCCUUUGAGGAGAAGAUGAGUUUAUUUCCAUUUCUACAAGGGAGAGUUGCAUUGAGUUGCAUGCCGGGUGGGCACCUUUCCAUUUGGAGGUGUUUCAAAGAGAAAGAAUACCUCGUAGAUUUCAUCUGUUGCCCAUGUAACCCUACUCCUCAGAGAGUGCGGCUAUUCGACCUGCCAGGAUUCCAUUUAAAGACUGUUUUCUCAUGAAGUACAGGAACUCUCCAUUUAUGUAUGGCUGGGGAAGUUCAAACGCCGACGUAAUCACUGCUGCAUUACGCCCAUGUGACUGGAGACUCUCCCAUGAUGAAGGUCAACGUUGAAAAAGAAUGCAUCGCGGUAGUAAGGCGAUCAUUUGCAGUGACAGAUACUUAAGAUUCGAUCAAAUACUUUCUCCCUAAAAUUUCGAAAUAACGAUUUUUUUUUAUUACCGUGCAAAUUAAUCUAUGAAGGAAAGGAGGAAACCUUAUUAGUGGCCAGGGGAAAAAAGAAAUAAUUAAAAUACAAGCGCUGGAUUUACAUCUAAGACAUUCCCUUUCAUCUCACCAUUAAUCUCCAAAUGUUCUUUUUUUUUUUUUUUAAGAGAGGAGGAGAGAGGUGGGGGUCUAGAGACAGAGGGAGAGGGAGAGAGAGAAUCUUAAGCAUGCCCCGUGCCCAGCGUGGAGCCCAACACAGGGCUGAUCUCACGACCCUGAGAUCAUGACCUGAGCCAAAAUCAAGAGUUGGAUGCUUAACCGACUGAGCCACCCAGGCGUCCCAAUUUCCAAGUGUUCUAAAGUAAUAUUACUGUAAUCUUAAAUUUAUUUCUUAACCACAAUCUGACAGUUGCAGCUAUAUGAAAUUAGAUAAUUCAUUCACAAUAAGUGCCAUGUGAGGAGGGGUCCCCUUUUCUAAUGCCACUCAGGGGCUUUGAAAAGCGUAUUUCAUCAGGGCUCCUAUGAGCAUCACAUGUGUUAGUUAUCUUCUGAUUCUAGAGGGGAGACGUCUUUGUGUAGAAGUCAUCCUCCCCUGAAUAGACCUUACAUGAACCUCAUGGGCAAAGCAUCGCGCUGCGGUGACGGGGACGCAGGGCUGACCUUCAUCUGGACCAAAGCUUCAGGAGUUCCAACUUCUCAGAUGGGUCUUGUUUUGAAAAAAGCCAACAGCAGUGCUGCAUGGAAAUGAUCUGUGUGAUAAUUCUUCUUUCUUCAUCAUGUAGAAAACCUCAGAAGUCACCAGAGUUUUUGGUAGAAACAUAAAAUCCUUUAUGUGGGGCAUAAUAAAAAACUCACCUUUAUUAAUAAGAUACA
rnacentral:lncRNA from 1 species